GCUCCGGGCGCCCCGCGGAGGGGACGGCCGUUGGGGCCGUUGGCGGGAGGGGUCACCUGAUCGCCCGCGCGUCCCCGCCGCGGCCUCGCUCUCUCCCGGCGYAGGUCCCGCGCAGCGCGGUUGAAAGCGUCACGUGGCUGCGCCCGCCGCCAGUCAUAGAGGCAGGCGCGGGAGGGUAGAGCGGCCUCGUGCUGACGAGCUCCCGCGCCGCCAUCUUGGUUGUGGGCAGGAGCUGUAAGGCGGCGCCUCGACCGUUGCUCUGGCGCCGCGCGCGUGAGGUGGCUGCGCCCGAUCCGGCCUCGUCCCGUCACCGCCGCUCCCGGGCCCUCGCCGCAGGGGGGACGGUUGUGGUGCCCCCACGGGAGAGGAACCCGGGGCCGCGGAGGGGCGCUGCCGCUCCCCGCCAGGCGUGCGGUGCGCCUCGGGCGUCUGCCGCCGCCGCCGGAGAAGGCGGAGAGGAACGGGAAGGUGGCAAAAGUUGCUGGCGGUGAGGACAGCCAGGCGGUCAGGGGCACAGAGGUGCUCUGGUGCGCCCUGAGAACUGGGAGUGAAUCAGUGAAACGCCACCGUAAAGACGAAGUGAAGUCUUGCUCCCUAGCAACCCAAGUGGCAUGUUUACUGAGUGAAAACAGGGCAUUUUGGAGCAAGGCUAUCCAGGAACUGCAGAGUUGCUGUUUCUCAGGACAGCGAGUGAGAAUGGAGUCCUGGAGCCCUCUGGUGGAUGUAUGUAGAAAGAAGACAGCUGAAAAUUGAGCACAACGAGACUCGCACAGUACAGACAGCGUGUUCCUUAUCUACAAGAUGAGACGAGGCUGUUUUAAUAACUACCAUGAUGAAGAUGGAGAUGAACUUAUAUACAAGAGGAAUUGCCUUCACAUUACACACAUUAUCUUCCUACAAAGCAGCAAUUGUUUUUGCAAAUAACAU
ensembl:lncRNA